rnacentral:rRNA from 1 species
AACGAACGCUGGCGGCGUGCUUAACACAUGCAAGUCGAACGGUAACAGAGAGAAGCUUGCUUCUUUGCUGACGAGUGGCGCACGGGUGAGUAAUAUAUAGGUUACGUGCCUCUUAGUCUGGGAUAGCCACUGGAAACGGUGAUUAAUACUGGAUAUUCCUGCUUGCAGGGAAAGGUUUUUCGCUAAGAGAUCGGCCUAUACUGUAUCAGUUAGUUGGUGAGGUAAUGGCUCACCAAGACGAUGACACAUAGCGGGUUUGAGAGGAUGAUCCGCCACACUGGUACUGAGACACGGACCAGACUCCUACGGGAGGCAGCAGUGAGGAAUAUUGCACAAUGGGGGAAACCCUGAUGCAGCAACGCCGCGUGGAGGAUGACGCAUUUCGGUGUGUAAACUCCUUUUAUCAGAGAAGAACAUGACGGUAUCUGAUGAAUAAGCUCCGGCUAACUCCGUGCCAGCAGCCGCGGUAAUACGGAGGGAGCAAGCGUUAUUCGGAAUCACUGGGCGUAAAGGACGCGUAGGCGGGUUAUUAAGUCAGAUGUGAAAUCCUAUGGCUCAACCAUAGAACUGCAUUUGAAACUGGUAACCUAGAGUAUGGAAGGGGAAGAUGGAAUUAGUGGUGUAGGGGUAAAAUCCGUAGAUAUCACUAGGAAUACCGAAAGCGAAGGCGGUCUUCUGGGACAUUACUGACGCUGAGGCGUGAAAGCGUGGGGAGCAAACAGGAUUAGAUACCCUGGUAGUCCACGCCCUAAACGAUGAAUGCUAGUCGUCGGAGAGCUCGUCUCUUCGGUGAUGCAGUUAACACAUUAAGCAUUCCGCCUGGGGAGUACGGUCGCAAGAUUAAAACUCAAAGGAAUAGACG